rnacentral:tRNA from 1 species
ACUCCAAUUCACGGCGAAUGCCGGGUAAGGACUACAUCCUGUCACGAUGCAGACGCGGGUUCAAAUCCCGCCGGGUCCACCA